rnacentral:rRNA from 1 species
AGUGAACGCUGGCGGUAGGCCUAACACAUGCAAGUCGAACGGCAGCACAGGAGAGCUUGCUCUCUGGGUGGCGAGUGGCGGACGGGUGAGGAAUACAUCGGAAUCUGCCCAGUCGUGGGGGAUAACGUAGGGAAACUUACGCUAAUACCGCAUACGACCUUCGGGUGAAAGAGGGGGAUCGCAAGACCUCUCGCGAUUGGAUGAGCCGAUGUCGGAUUAGCUAGUUGGCGGGGUAAUGGCCCACCAAGGCGACGAUCCGUAGCUGGUCUGAGAGGAUGAUCAGCCACCCUGGAACUGAGACACGGUCCAGACUCCUACGGGAGGCAGCAGUGGGGAAUAUUGGACAAUGGGCGCAAGCCUGAUCCAGCCAUACCGCGUGGGUGAAGAAGGCCUUCGGGUUGUAAAGCCCUUUUGUUGGGAAAGAAAUCUUUCAGGCUAAUACCCUGGGAGGAUGACGGUACCCAAAGAAUAAGCACCGGCUAACUUCGUG